UACGUAGGUGACAAGCGUUGUCCGGAUUUACUGGGCGUAAAGAGCGCGCAGGCGGUCGAUCAAGUCGAGUGUGAAAGCCCCCGGCUCAACUGGGGAGGGUCAUUCGAUACUGAUCGACUCGAAGGCAGGAGAGGGUAGUGGAAUUCCCGGUGUAGUGGUGAAAUGCGUAGAUAUCGGGAGGAACACCAGUGGCGAAGGCGACUACCUGGCCUGUUCUUGACGCUGAGGCGCGAAAGCUAGGGGAGCAACGGG
rnacentral:rRNA from 1 species